CAAGAACACAGGGGCGAUCAGGGGGUUUCUUUUCAAACCCUAAGUUUCACAAAAUCUCACAAAUUGGAAGCCUAAAUCAAGUCUAAAUCAAAAACUGAAUACGUAUUAGCGAUCACCUCGGCGAAGGGAUCGCAAGGUAAAGAAUCCGGAUCGUCAAGCGAACAAGUCGGAGGUGAUACGUGUUUGAAGGGUGUGCUUUAAAGGUGAUGAUGGACUUAAUCCGGAUGGCGAUCAAGCACAAUUCGAAGAACCGAAAACGAUAUUUUGAAGCUUCCGCGAUUACUUAAUUAUGUCUAAAACAAUGUCUAUGUAGUUAACACUUAAAUACUUGUUUUGGGAUUGCUAAACUAGUAGUACUUAU